AGAUAAAAGAGUGAGGGACCAAAAAGAAAAAGGGAGAGAACUCUAGAGGCUGCCUGAUGGCAGCAAGGGAGAGGAUUUUCAGCAGGGAGGAUUAUUCUUGCUAUGCCAGAGAAUGUAAUUUGUUUGGUCCCAGAUGUUGGGUUUUCACGUAUGGUGGCAUAGAGUCCACGAGGAAGAUCUGUAGGAUUUCAACACCAUCGGAUGCAUUGUAUGUGGGUCUUGAGACCCAUUUUGUCCCAUCUCAAAACUUAACUAUUUGUGCCAAAGAAUCAAGAUGGAGAGGUGGAGAGCUUCAAGUUGAUUCGGUGAUGCAUGUUGCAAGCAUCAUAUGGAGGACACAAUGUUUCAAUCCCAACACGGGAACGGGAGAGACGGGUCAGAAAAGGAAAAAAAAACAGGGGGAGAUGGCGUUGGCCAAGAAGGGGAUUACGAGGAAUCCCACCGCCCCGAAACUAUGAACCGGAAUAAGGAAGUGUAGAAGACGAUGUCUGAAGAAGCAAAGAGAAUCAUAACGAAGUCCUCAAAGUCAAAUAAAAAGUGCAUAUUGCUUGAUUGGAUGGGUUCUGGAGAAUUAAUUGAUGAAGGUUGGUGGUCAUAAGUGGUCCGAACGUUCUUGUUCGUUUUGUGCCAAUUGGACCACUUGCAAUGAGGGUGUGGGUGGAUGUUAAAAAGCGUCCGACUCACUUGUUCGUUUUGUGCCAAUUACACCCACAUAAAAUACAUGCGUGAGUGAGGGAUGAAAGUGGAGCUGCAUGCAGUGGUUAAAGGGGCAGAGAAGAGAGUAUGUGAGGCUUUUCAUUGAUAUUUUCUCGUUCUUGGUCUCUAAUCCUUUGUAUUUGCUUAGUUCAAUUUUCUUUGUAUAAAAAAUUGAAAAAUUAUACAGUUGUAAAUGAUUGAUUAGUGACAUGACAUUGAAGAUUUGGAGUUAAAUUUGUGUUUUUGGUUGAAUUUGCGUUGCCGAAGUGAUAUGUGAUUGUAUGACGAUUCAAAAACUGAUAUAGAUGCUUCCUCCUGCCAAGUGCUAUAGUUGGUGGGUUGGAAGCGAUUGAGACCUGUAUCUUUUUUAGAGUGCUUGAAUCAUUUCGCCGUUACAUUUCUCAUAGCACACCCCUCUUUUUACU